rnacentral:lncRNA from 1 species
AUAAUAAUAGUAAUAAUAAUAAUAAGUAAUGUAUAACAAAGCAUGCACACUGAAGCCAUCUUUAAGGAUGGGCAGCACUGGGCAGCCUCAAGGGUAUUUUAGGGUUCUUAGGUUCCCCUAUAGAAUAAAGACAGUGAAACCCUAGUACAUGGCUGGCUGCUCCUCUCUUCACAGUGCUGUUCCUGCCUUGGGCUAAGAGGGCCUGGGCUGCCACCUGAGCAUCUCAGUGCGAGUGUAGGAAAGAUAAAUGUGAGGCUGUCUUGGUGGGGUGACUCCCUCCUCACUUAACUGAGGGGCUCAUGAGGUAGGAGAAGGACUUAUGGGGGUCCCAGUGGUUUAUGACAGUGGAGGUCACAGAAAGGGGACCACUGGGCCUAAAAAUAUACCCCCUCACCCCAUCGUAUCACUGAUACCCCAAAUUCCAUGAUCUGAAGGCAGAUCAUUCUUUACUGACUUCUGGGUUAACCAGGAUGCAUUCUUAUCUUAACAACUACCUCUUUAUCUUUGCAGAUGGAAGCUGGAGUGACCGCUACCAACAAUAUGCAUUCCUAAGGUGGUCAGAUGGAGUGUGGGGCCUGAGUGAGGGAUGGAGCCCCAGGCAGGAGGUAUCCCAUCAUGGGGAGAAUCUGUUAUCUGAGAAAGCCAAGGCUUCCUGUCGGGCUCGCUCCCCUUGGGCCAAUGCCUGGUGUGGACAAAGGAAGAUGAUGGAAGAAGAGCCACAGUGAGCCUGCGCAGAAUGCUUCCCACGAGCCAAAGAGCUUUCCGUGGAUUAUUCACCGAAGCCUCAGAGCAACUCUAUGAGGUCAGUGCUAUUAGUAUCAUCUUUCUCAUUUUAGAGAUGAGGUAAUGAGGCUCAGUGAGCUGGCAUGAGUUGCUCAAGGUCACAGAGCUAGUGAGGCACGGAGCCGGAUUCACACCCAGGCCGGCCCUUGCUCUGAACCGGUCUGCUCCAGCAGUCCGUGGAAGGGCACAGAGGUCACUGGAGCUGGGGGUGGGGUGGGCUUGGGGGACAGUGUUCAGACUCUAGUCCCGACUUUGCUCCAUGUCAUGUGGCAAUUCAGAACAAGUCCAUCUGCCACUCAUCGAUUCAUUGAAUAUUGAUCAAAUGCCUCCCCUUCGAGGGCCAGAGCACAGGGAAGUCAUGUCUCACAUGAAGAGCUGCACAUGGCAACUGUGACAAACACUAUAAGCACAUCUUCUGGGUUACAGAGGGUAGGUGGUUUAUGGAGCAAGGCGGAGGAGGGGGUGACACUGACUGUAGGAGACAGGGGUGGGGUUCUGGAAAGUUGUGGCCUUGAAAGAGAAAGAUGCUUGCCAAGGCAUUCCCGGACAGGCAUGUCUGUGAGAGCAAAGGUAUGAAGAUGGCCUAGAGUGUUUCAGCACCUUCUGGUUGUCCCUAUGGGUGGAGUAGAAUUUCACAAAGUGUGGACUUGGACCUGCAAUUAGAACCUACAUGAGGGGGCACCUGGGUGGUUGAGCAUCUGCCUUUGGCUCAGGUCAUGAUCCCGGGGUCCUGGGAUUGAGUCCUGCAUCAGGCUCCCCAUGGGGAGCCUGCUUCUCCCUCUGCCUAUGUCUCUACCUCUCUCCUUGUGUCUCUCAUGAAUAAAUAAAUAAAAUCUUUAGGAAAAAAGAAAAAGAACCUGCAUGAGAACCAGCUGGGUGGGCAGUGAGUGUUAGAAUGCAGAUUCCAGUGAUGGAUGGACUUGGCCUACCUUAGUCUGAGCAUUGUCUGUUGGCUUCUGGUUUACACUAUUACCCAUCAGCCAAGUGGACAAGGACUGGAGGGGACAGAAGUGAGGGGAGCAAAGCCAAUACUGUGUCCAUGGAGUGAGGAGAGCGUGAGUUAGGGCUACAGAGUUUCCAGAGGGGCCCAGAAUGUUAAGAGGUGCUUGGUUGGAGUAAAGGACAGACGGGACCAGAGCUUGGACAGGAAAGGUAAGGCAGAGCACGGAAUCAAGGAUAACUGAACCGUUGGCUUGUGCUAUUGGGU